UGCCGGUUGGUCUAAUGGCAAGACAACAGACUUUGAAUUUGUUAAUCCUGGUUCGAUUCCAGGCCCGGUAGCCA
rnacentral:tRNA from 1 species